GUAUAGAAAGCGAGAAAUUUGCAUACGGUUUCGGCCCGUAUUUUAGGGGUGAAAGUCCUCUUUUAUAUU
rnacentral:tRNA from 1 species